rnacentral:misc_RNA from 1 species
AAGUCGUAACAAGGUUUCCGUAGGUGAACCUGCGGAAGGAUCAUUAACACGUAUCCAAACGUUAAAACCCCCCCCGUGAACCUUCAUCCUGCUCUUGUAACCCGCGUAGUUCGCAAUCUCUGAUAAAUCAUAGCCCGGAAAGUUGUAGUGAUUCAGAGACCUCUGGCUACGUGCGAACAUUGGAACAGUUACAAUCGAGCGGUAGUUCUAUAGGCAAUGUUUCCCCAAGGAUAGCGCUUCUACGAUUCCUGUAGACCGAACACUCGGGCAGGAGCUUUGCCAAAGGGUCCCCAUGCCACCUAAUAACCCCACAGUUUAAUGUGAAGCUCAAUGUAAUACAUUGGGUAAAAAAACCGAACAACUGUUAACAAUGGAUAUCUUGGUUCUC